UUGCUGGUUCAUGCCGGCAUUGGGUGUUCGUCGCCGACGCUAUGGAUCUAACUCUUGGCUUUGACCUCCACUCAAAGCAGAUGGAAUCGGUUUGCCUGUGGAUGCCUCCUUCACUGGUGGUGGAAACAACUAUGCGUUCAACAUGCGCACGGCUCGUCCAUCGACCGUUACUCUGAGCAAAUCAGCGUGUCCAAAGCAGCCGCCUGUUCGGCUGAAUGCUCUAGCAUGGAAUAACAAGGCGCCGGCCUCUGGAUCGGCUUUUUGUUGGCUUUCUUGGUCUCUCGAGGACAGCUCAGGGCAAGUCAUUCAUUGCAGUUCUCGAUGCAGACGCUUUUCGCUUCUGUAUCCCCUGCACAUGAAGCUUGUCUCUUUCGGCGAUAAUGGGAUCCUUCGGGGCAGUACGGAUCACCAUGUCAGCGGUGAAAUGCUCAGACCAUGGUGAGACGAACUAAUGCAAAGGCAUUCUGCCAGGAUGUUUUCAUCAAUCAAGAACGAGAGUGUGGGGAUCGAAGAUGAUCAGAUACCAUCGUAGUCCAUACCCGUAAACCAUACCGACUCGGCAUGGGGAAUCCGUUCACUUUACGACUUUCCCUGUGUCUUCCCCCAAUACCGAGAAAUCCAAGUCUAUGGGUUCAGGGGGAAGUAUGGUCGCAAGGCUGAAACUUAAAGGAAUUGACGGAAUGACACCACCAGGCGUGGAGUAUGCGGCUUAAUUUGACCCAACACGAGGAAUCUUACCAGGUCAGGACUCAGCCAGGAUUGACAGACUGAGAGCUCUUUCUCGAUUCUCAGAAUGGUGGUGCAUGGCCGUUUUUGGUUCGUGGCGUGAGCUGUCUGCUUAAUUGCGAUGACGAACGAGAUCUCCACCACUAAAUAUGCGCUGGUCUCGUACAUAGGUAGGGAGGCGUUCGGAUCUCCUUCUGGUGAUCCUGUCUCCUGAGAGUGCCAGCUCGCUUCUUAGUGGGACUGUGCAUGCUUUAAUGCACGUAAGAAGGAGCCAAUAGCAGGUCUGUGAUGCUCUUAGAUGUCUUGGGCUGCACGCGCACUACACUGGUGCAGUGAACGAGUUGUACCUCCAUUCGGAGUCCUGCUCAGAACUGAGCGUGGGAAAUCUUGUGAAACUGACUCCGUGGUUGGGAUCGGUGAUUGCAAUUAUUGACCUUCAACGAGGAAUGCCUAGUAGAGGCACUUCAUCAGAGUGCCUUGAUUUCGUCCCUGCCAUUUGUACACACCGCCCGUCGUUGCUACCGAUUGGUGGGGAAAUAGAGGCCUCAAGAGCUGCGUGCGAAGCUUUGUUCUUCAGUGUGCUGGCAAAUUUGACCGAUGUUUCACUGCUAGAGGAAGCAAAAGUCGUAACAAGG
rnacentral:rRNA from 1 species